GAUGAACGCUAGCGGAAGGCCUAAUACAUGCAAGUCGAACGAUAGAAGAGGGCUUGCUCUCCUCGAAAGUGGCGCACGGGUUCGUAGCGCGUCUGCAACCUACCUUAAUCAGGGGCAUAGCUCGAAGAAUUUAGAAUUAACACCACAUAAAAUCAUAGUACAGAAAUGUAGAAUGAUCGAAUAUUAAAAGAAUUACGAAGGGAAUGCUUGACGUUAGCUAUGUGGCGGGGUAACGGCCCACAAAGGCGACGAGGUCUAGGGGAGCGGGGAGGAUGACCCCACACAAUGGUACUGAGACACGGACAAGACUCCUACGGGAGGCAGCAGUAAGGAAUAUUGGUCAAUGGAGGAAACUCUGAACCAGCCAUGCCGCGUGCAGGAAGACAGCCCUCUGGGUCGUAAACUGCUUUUAUUCGGGAAUGAACCUACUUACGUGUAAGUAGCUGAAUGUACCGAAGGAAUAAGGAUCGGCUAACUCCGUGCCAGCAGCCGCCGUAA
rnacentral:rRNA from 1 species